CGGUCAUCGGGUGUUGCAGCAACUACAUGUACAUUCAGGUGAACCACCUCUGACAACUUCUAAAAGCAGCCUCCUCCUACACAUUAUGGUCAGGUGGACUUCACUCAAAAGCCAGUAAAAUUAUGGAAGCUGAAAAUGUACGAAAGAGGAGGUGAUCUACUGGAACGCCUGAUGUGCCCUUGAACAUGUUAGCUUAACCGGGGAACUCAAAAAUGCUAGGAGCUCAGCAGGUUCUUCAUCUUCUUUCACAACCUCAAUGUUGGUGUCAUUUGGCAGAACCAUUCGAUGAAGAACAUCUGAAGCAGCCUGUUUCCAGUCAAUCUCCCCUGGAUCACCACCAAGCCCUUUGCAGCUUACCUUCCGGACCUUGCUAAUCUCACAAAUAAAAGACCUUCCUACCCAAACAUACACAGCUCUACCUGCAUCUUUUCCAGAACCUGAAGUUGGAAUAAUGAAAAUAUAUGCAUUUUUAGAAUCCAAAUCAUCAAUGCUACAAAUAGCGAGUUUCUCCAAGCUGGGCCAACGAUAUACAACAUGUUCCACUAGGUUACAAGAUGCCCCACCAGUAUCCACAACACCAUUUAACACAGCCGUGCUCCUUUCAUUGCAUGGUAUUUUCUCCCAUAACUCACGAAAGCCACUAAAAACAGCAGAUUCUUUAUCAGAAGGAAUACCAAUGCCUAAAAUAUCUAAAGAACUAUGCAAUUCAUCCAUUUUACACUCAAUUAUCUCUUGUGGGGAAUGUAAAAUCUCAGCUGCAGUCCCUGCUUCAUUAAAAGACUCAUUUGUCGCUUCUGAUAUGCCAACAUCACCUUGGUCAUUGGCAACACUCUUCAAAUGACCUGAUUUACUGUCAAAAUCAUCAGUCAGCGAUGGAAGCUUGAGACCCUUCGAUAAACUACCUCUCCGCUCCGCAAUGGAGAGGGG
rnacentral:misc_RNA from 1 species